rnacentral:rRNA from 1 species
UACGAAGGGUGCAAGCGUUACUCGGAAUUACUGGGCGUAAAGCGUGCGUAGGCGGUUUGUUAAGUCCGUUGUGAAAGCCCUGGGCUCAACCUGGGAAUUGCAGUGGAUACUGGCGAGCUAGAGUGCGGUAGAGGAUGGUGGAAUUCCCGGUGUAGCGGUGAAAUGCGUAGAGAUCGGGAGGAACACCCGUGGCGAAGGCGGAACUCUGGGCCGGAACUGACGCUGAGGAGCGAAAGCGUGGGGAGCGAACAGG